GGGUGAUGGCGUGCCUUUUGUAGAAUGAACCGGCGAGUUACGUUCCCGUGCAAGGUUAAGGUGAGAAGCCGUAGCCGCAGCGAAAGCGAGUCUGAAUAGGGCGAAUAAGUACGUGGGCGUAGACCCGAAACCGUGUGAUCUACCCCUGUCCAGGGUGAAGGUGCGGUAACACGCACUGGAGGCCCGAACCCACGAAUGUUGAAAAAUUCGGGGAUGAGGUGGGGGUAGCGGAG
rnacentral:rRNA from 1 species